GACGAACCGAGCGAACGUUAUUCGGAAUCACUGGGCUUAAAGGGCGCGUAGGCGGGCUGUCAAGUCUGGGGUGAAAUCCCACGGCUCAACCGUGGAACUGCCUUAGAUACUGACGGCCUCGAGGAAGGUAGGGGCAUGCGGAACUGUAGGUGGAGCGGUGAAAUGCGUUGAUAUCUACAGGAACUCCGGUGGCGAAAGCGGCGUGCUGGACCUUUUCUGACGCUGAGGCGCGAAAGCUAGGGGAGCAAACGGGG
rnacentral:rRNA from 1 species